ensembl:lincRNA B230112J18Rik uncharacterized LOC110339050
GUGGAAAAGCCUAAGAUUUCUGUAAAAGCAGGGGUCAGUGAAUUAAAAUUCUCCCAGGAGCGAAGGGCCUCUGAAUGCUUAUUUCUGAUAAUCUUAUUUAUGUCCCGGGCCACGCCCCCACCACACCCCCACUCCAAAGGCUUUUCUUGUGCUGCCAUUGCCCUGGACUACUACGCCUGCCCUUGGGGAUUGGAGGUGAGGUGCUCUGGCAUCAACAGACUCCAGGGGUAGGUGAGAAACCCCGUGGCAAGAUCAUCUGAGCGCUGCUAACAGCCCAAAUGGAUGAGGAGAGUCACCCGUCUACAGACCCACUUUACAGAUGGAGUGACAGGCUGAGAUGAACUAGUGGGCAGAGAGCCAAUCCGGAGGAGACUGGCUUGAAACCAAGCAUGCAGCCAGCGAGUCAGGCAUUUGUGGGAAUUGGGAAAACAUGGCACCUGCCCCAUUGGAGACGUGGAUGUUAGAUUUGGUUUUAGGUAUACACUCCAAGUGCUGUGGAUGACUGCAUCCCCCAAGGACCCUCCGGCAGCACGAGACAGGGAGGACAGGGAAGAAUCUCUGAUAAUAAAAAACCAAAAACAAAA